CAGCCGCCGCGGUAAUACGGAGGGCGCGAGCGUUGUCCGGAAUUAUUGGGCGUAAAGCGCGCGCAGGCGGUCCCUUAAGUCUGAUGUGAAAGCCCACGGCUCAACCGUGGAGGGUCAUUGGAAACUGGGGGACUUGAGUGCAGAAGAGGAGAGCGGAAUUCCACGUGUAGCGGUGAAAUGCGUAGAGAUGUGGAGGAACACCAGUGGCGAAGGCGGCUCUCUGGUCUGUAACUGACGCUGAGGCGCGAAAGCGUGGGGAGCAAACAGGAUUAGAUACCCUGGUAGUCCACGCCGUAAACGAUGAGUGCUAAGUGUUAGAGGGGUUAAACCCUUUAGUGCUGUAGCUAACGCGUUAAGCACUCCGCCUGGGGAGUACGGCCGCAAGGCUGAAACUUAAAGGAAUUGGCGGG
rnacentral:rRNA from 1 species